CCGGUGCGGCUGCAGCAGCGGAGUGAGAGGAGGGAAUGGCAGUGGGACAAGAGGUCACAGAGGCAGCAGACAGACCAGAUCGUGGAGGCCUUAGGACUUGGGCUUCCCCUGUGGGUCAGAUGGGAGGCAUCUGCAGAAAGACACUUAGGAGGUGGCUGUGUUCACCUAGGUGACGGAAAAAACCCCAAAACGAACACUGAGUCACAGACAGUUUGCUCACCUAGUAAGCUCGAACACAGACAUAUUCUGAUUCCAGCUCCCAUGUUCCCAAGGUCUCGUCCAAUCACACUGCGUUCCCUCUAACGCCCUGAGAAACAUUUCAAAAGAACCGUGCCCAGCGAAUCCUCUGGAAACCUAUCAAGAUAUUAACUCUUCUACUUCUAGGGGAUUUAGCUCACCGAAGCCCAGGAGCCAACAACCACCAGAUACUCCCUGCCAUGGAAAAGGCUUCCAAUACGCCAUUUUUGUGAAACGAAUAAAAUGACGCAAGUU